rnacentral:lncRNA from 1 species
CAUUACUUUGGAUUGUGGUGAAAGUAUGGGAUAGUUAAUUCUGUUUGUAUCACAUUUUGUUUGGGAAGGUAUUCAGAAUUUAAUAAGCAGUGAAGGCUUAUAUUCCUAUCCUAAUAGUAUCUUCCUCAGUCAGAUUUUAAAGUCAUCUAUGUGUGUAUUAAGAUGUGUUUUUAAGAUAUGUCAACAGUGUGUGUGUUUUGUUUUGAAGGCAAUGGCAUAUUAUUGACUGGAAGAUCAUUUACCUUCACGUGGUUGCAACUCUGUGUUUUCUUAGGCUCCUGAGUUUGGAACUGAUCUGAGUAUAAUUUCUUUUUCAUUUUAGAUGGACACUUUUGUAAAUCCCCUUCGUAACUCUAUGAGGAAUGUUUCAAAUGCAGUCAAGUCCCUUCCUGACAGCUUGGCAGAAGGAGUGACAAAAAUGUCGGACAACGUGGGCAGAAUGUCGGAGAGAUUAGGGCAAGACAUAAAGCAGUCAUUUUUUAAGGUAAAAAGACAUUUCCAGUGAUCUCUAAAGCAAACAUUUUUUAUGUCACUAUGAUAUAUUAGGCUUCUUCUCCAAAAUUUUCAGACGUAUAUUCAU